UACGUAGGGGGCAAGCGUUGUCCGGAUUUACUGGGCGUAAAGGGCGUGCAGGCGGUCUGUUAAGUCUAGGGUGAAAGCUCCCGGCUCAACUGGGAGAGGUCCUUGGAUACUGGCGGACUUGAGGGAGGCAGAGGAAAGUGGAAUUCCCGGUGUAGUGGUGAUAUGCGUAGAUAUCGGGAGGAACACCAGUGGCGAAGGCGGCUUUCUGGGCCUUACCUGACGCUGAGACGCGAAAGCCAGGGGAGCGAACGGG
rnacentral:rRNA from 1 species